rnacentral:rRNA from 1 species
UAGGGAAUCUUCGGCAAUGGACGAAAGUCUGACUGAGCAACGCCGCGUGAGUGAAGAAGGUUUUCGGAUCGUAAAACUCUGUUGGUAGAGAAGAACGUUGGUGAGAGUGGAAAGCUCAUCAAGUGACGGUAACUACCCAGAAAGGGACGGCUAACUACGUGCCAC